AAGGAUUUAAGUUAAAUCAAACUUUUAACCUUCAAAGUUGAAUACAGAUAUUAAAAUCUAAGCCUUA
rnacentral:tRNA from 1 species